AUUUGUUGUAAAUUAUUACUAACUUACGGGGGCCUUUGACGAUCGACCCCCAACGGACCACGGGUCAAAAAGACCGCCGAAAUACAUUGCUUUCCAAACUAAAAGCCAUGCACCAAAGCCUAAAAUAACUAAAUGAAUACCUAAAAUUGUAGACAUUUUGUUUUUAUCUUUCCA
rnacentral:antisense_RNA from 15 species